UCCGGAUUAGGUCCAUCUUCACCUACGGUCAAAACCAUGUAAAUAAUUAGUUUUGACACUUUAAUAAUCGAGUAUAAACAAGUUCCGUGCUUAACGUAACAAAACAAGAAAUUAUUUUUGUUUUGUUUUCAGCCCCUUCACCCGGCCGUGUCAAAAAGUCACCCGGCCGUGUCAGUUAACAUAUAUUUUUCACAGCCCAGCCACCCGCCCGUGUCAAAAAGUCACCCGCCCGUGUCAACUCUGCACGUCUAUUUUUCAUUAGUUCUUACCGAAACGGACAUAACUCUCUCG
rnacentral:lncRNA from 1 species